CAUUAAGUUAUAAUUAACUAUGCACGUCUCUUUCUUUCUUUCACUCCUUCGAUCUCUCGUUAUUUUUUUGGUUAAGUUCCAUCUCCCCCCCUUUUGCUUUGUUUUGUUUUGUUUUUCAAAAUAAAAAAUAAUAAAAUAAUAAAAAAAUUAAAAAAUAACUUAUUUUCCCAUUCCAUCCACCCGUCCAUCUAUAUUAAAGCGAAAGACUCGUGUACAGCACUUCGUACAUAGAGGAAUAACAGAAAGGGGGGGAAAAGGAAAAAGAAAAAAUACCCUUUCCCCUGAACUUCCCCCACAACCACACGUACAACAAAAACCCCCCGAAAAAGUUACCAUAUAUAAAGCUUAAAAGGGCAUGGGGGAGUGUCGGGGUGCACAUGUCCCCGACGAAGAACUGAGUAUUAAAUGAAGUCCUGCGAUUCAGCUGCUCGUUAACCCUUCUGCCACACCGCUACCACUACCGCUAGCAGUAGCAGUAGCAGAACCAGAAGUUUCCUUAGUCCGUCCGCGCUCCUCCCCCUGCUGCUGCUGCUGGGUAGACGUAUUCCUGCUCGCGUUCCGCUUAUUAUUCCCAUUUUCGCGAUCCUCAUCGCUGCCCGAUGGCGAGGAGAGUGCGGCGUCCGCAUGGUUGUCCGUAUCGUGGAGCGAGUUGUGUGUGUGUGCGUGCGUUGGUGGCGGGUUGUGUGCGGAUUUUAAUUAGAAGGGAACGGGAGGAGAAAAAGCAAGAAAAGCAAACACUCACCCAAGCCCUAACCCCCCCUAUCAACCCUAAGCUAUAGCCCGUCGCAAAGUCCUCGCUCCUCCCUGGCCCAACCCCCGGGCUCUCAGAUCGACCGGGCAUUUCCAACCGCCCCAAUUGCGUUCGACUCCCGGCCCCAAUGCCAAAAUAACCAUUAUGACUAUUAUUACUAUUAUUGUGAUUCCCGGGACUGGUAGCGCCGGCCCCUGCCCCUCGAUUAUUACCACCGAACCCGAACCCGCCGACGCUGCCGUCCACGCUGUUUCGCGCCGGACUCGAGGGCCGGCUAUUCAGCCAAAACUGGCGCAACUCCUUGCCCAGCUCCUGGCCUGUGGCGGACCAGUUAUUCUUGAUGCUAUCGCGCAGCUCGGCGACGUGGCGUUUGAUGUCGAGCUCAUUCUUCUUGAGCCAGGAGACGUUGAGUUCUUGGCGCGAGGUGCCGCGUUUCAGCUGGCGGGUGAUGUAUUUUUCGUAAUCGCGGACGAUGCUGUUGCGGGUUGGGGGAAAAGAAAUCUGUUAGUUAUAUAGAUAUAAUACGAGAGCAGAAAAAGACAAAGAAAAUUAAAGUAAUAUUAUAUAUAAUGUAACAUGAGGGA
rnacentral:sRNA from 1 species